CAAAUCUCUCGGGAGGCAGAGGCGCAGCAGGCCCCAAUCGUGCCCUAUUGCCCGACCUCUCUUCCCAAGGCUGUAGGACAAAAACCCUCCAUUCAAAGACCCCACGAAUCAACAAUGCCAGCUUCUCCCUCUGACGCUCGCACCAAAUGGAGAAAGAGGAAGCGAGACCCCCAUGUCUCCCGCCGUCAGAAGCAUGAGGAGGACGAGGAAGAUGAUGACGACGUCGACGACGAAUUGGACGCCGACGCGGAUGACGACAACGAGCAACAGCCUCAGCAUGGUCCGCAGUCCGGCGCCGUACCCGAUCCUGCCCCUUUGAUGAGGGAGGUGCUUUCCGAUGGCGCCGUUCGAAUUUCCGACUUCCCUAGCGUGGUGAAGCACACCGUGAAUCGUCCACACUCGUCCGUGCUAGCCAUUGUUGGGACGGAGCGGGCGAUUCAGUUUGGGGACACUAGGAAUCAGCAAAGCCCCAUGUUUUUGGAGAAUAUAUCACAUGGGCAGCUCCAGGCGUUGUCCGCCGUGCCGGCGGAUAGUCCGUCUUUGGCGACGUCGGAUCAGGAGAGAUCGGAUGGAGGUGGUUACGUGGUGGCGCCACCGCAGAUCAUGGAGGGGCGUGGUGUGAUUAAGCGGUUUUGGAAUGGUCGGGUUCAUGCUGUUCCAAUGCACUCAGAUUGGUUUUCGCCUAACACAGUGCACAGAUUGGAGAGACAAGUGGUUCCGCAUUUUUUCUCUGGAAAGUCUCCAGACCAUACGGCAGAGCUAUACAUGGAAUGCAGGAACUUGAUUGUUGCCAAGUACAUGGAAUAUCCAGAGAAAAGAUUAUCGGUUUCUGACUGUAAGGGCCUUGUGGCUGGCAUUCAGGAGGAAGACUUGACCCGAAUUGUUCGUUUCCUGGAUCACUGGGGAAUCAUUAAUUACUGUGCUUCUUCUGUGCCAAAUCGUGAGCCUUGGAGUAGCACAUCCUACCUAAGGGAGGAUUCGAAUGGUGAGGUUCAUGUGCCAUCGGCUGCUUUGAAGUCCAUUGAUAGUUUGAUCAAAUUCGACAAGCCCAAAUGUAGGCUCAAGGCGGCUGAGGUGUACUCAUCCUUGUCAUGUAACGGUGACGAGGACUCCGACUUGGACUGCAAAAUUCGAGAGAGGUUAUCUGAUAAUCGUUGCAAUUAUUGCUCUCGACCUCUUCCAAUUGGGUAUUAUCAAUCACAGAAGGAGGUCGAUGUAAUGCUAUGCACAGAUUGCUUCUAUGAAGGGAGGUUUGUAACUGGUCAUUCAAGUAUAGAUUUUAUACGGUUGGAUUCCACAAAAGAUUAUGGUGACGUUGAUAGCGAAAGUUGGAGUGAUCAGGAGACUUUACUCCUGCUUGAAGCAAUGGAAUCUUAUAAUGAGAACUGGAAUGACAUUGCAGAGCAUGUUGGUACCAAGUCAAAAGCACAAUGCAUCCUUCAUUUUAUUCGUAUGCCCAUGGAGGAUGGCCUACUUGAGAAUAUUGAAGUUCCAAGCAUGCCAACUUUAUCUAAUUCUUUGAAUAAAGUUGAUCAGGAAAGAUCACAUUCAAAUUCAAAUGGGAAUUUAGCAGGAUCUUGUCUCCCUGGCCUUGAUUCUUAUAGUAGGCUCCCUUUUGCAAAUUCUGGAAAUCCAGUUAUGUCCAUGGUUGCCUUUCUAGCCACCGCUGUUGGACCACGAGUUGCCGCAGCCUGUGCCCAUGCAUCCUUGAUAGCAUUGUCUGAGGAAAACGCUUUAGCUGCUGCUUCUGGAUUCAUCAUACCGCCGGAAGGAUCUGGACAUGGAAAUAGGAUGAAAGAAGGUGGUCCACAUGGAGAGCUGACAAAUUCAAGUCAGCACCAAGAUGGAAACAUAGCAAUACAAGGUUCAUGGGGUCAAAAUGAUGCAGAGGUUGCUUCAUUACCUGUUGAAAAAGUUAGAGCUGCUGCAAAAGCUGGUCUUGCUGCUGCAGCGAUGAAGGCAAAACUGUUUGCUGAUCAUGAAGAAAGGGAAAUUCAGAGGCUUUCUGCCAAUAUUAUUAAUCAUCAGUUGAAGAGAUUAGAGCUGAAGCUGAAGCAAUUUGCAGAAGUGGAAACCUUGUUGAUGAAAGAAUGUGAACAGGUGGAGAGGGCAAGACAAAGGUUUGCGGCUGAGCGAGCCCGCAUUAUAUCGACCCGGUUUGGACCAACCGGAGUCACUUCACCUAUGAAUCUUCCAGGUGUUGCUCCUGCUUUGGUUAGUAACAACACUGGCAACAAUAGGCAACAAAUCAUAUCAGCCUCACCUUCACAGCCAAGCAUUUCUGGGUACGGUAAUAACCAACAAAUGCAUCCACACAUGUCGUUCAUGCCGCGGCAGCCAAUGUUUUCAUUUGGACCACGCCUGCCCCUUGCAGCCAUACAGCCAUCCUCAUCAACUCCUUCUCCAAAUGCCAUGUUUAACAAUUCGGGUAGUUCACAGCCUACUCUCAAUCAUCCAAUGAUGAGGCCUGUAUCAGGGACUAGCUCUGGUUUAGGUUGAGAAUUAGGCAGGCAAAUUCGGGAUUUUGGUUUAAUUCAAUUAGAAGGAAAUAUGACACAGAAUGACAGUGAAAAGUUUUCAUCUGUCAUGCCUCACUUGGUUUUCAUCUGGAGGGAAGCCAUUGGCGCCAGGUUGUUGGACUUCCUCUCAGUCACAGUUUGAGGAUGCAGCUGGAUUGGUUGCAUAAAGAACAAAGUAUGUCAAUCAAGGGAGGCUCGAUUUAUUAGCAGGAUGCAGGUUAGUUUGGGUGUCUUCUGAUGCAACUUCAAGAUUUCUGAAUGCCCAUCUCCUUCCCCAUUCCCCCUACCAGCCAAGCAUUAGUGCUUGGGAAUGUGUCUUCAACCGGAUGCUGAGUUUGCUCCCAAAAUAGGGUAUUUGGAACCAUAUAUAUUCAAAGGUGAUUGUUACAAGUUAGAGGAAAGUUUCGUUUGUCUUUUAUUUUUAUUUAUUUUUUAUUUCUUUUGCUAAUUGGGUUUUAAAAGAGGCAUCUCAUAAAUGCUUUUUUCUAGCCUUGUUAUAAACCGGUAGUUCUUACGUGUCUUUUUUUUGAAAAAAAAUGUUUUUUAUGCUUAUCUUUUAGAGGCAAAAUGCAUCCUACAGAAAUUCUAGUUUCCCUCUCUAUUGGUCAAGGGGCAGAUGAGGAGAUUAGAGUCACAAAAUACAGGGAGACCUUGAGUUUUGCAGUUCUUCAAUGGUUAAGAGUUGUACCCAAAUAGGGUGUGAGAGUGAGCAAGAGAGUCAAAUUGAAAUGGGGGAUAGGCUCAAAGGGAGAAAGCUCUCCAAAGAGGGUGCGAGGAUGAGAACUAUAAAACUGCUGCUUGGAUGCGGUA